AUACGGAGGGUGCAAGCGUUACUCGGAAUCACUGGGCGUAAAGCGCGCGCAGGCGGCCCGAUAAGUUGGAUGUGAAAGCCUACGGCUCAACCGUAGAACUGCAUCCAAAACUAUUUAGCUAGAGUGUGGGAGAGGAAGAUGGAAUUAGUUGUGUAGGGGUAAAAUCCGUAGAGAUAACUAGGAAUACCAAAAGCGAAGGCAAUCUUCUGGAACACUACUGACGCUGAGGCGCGAAAGCGUGGGGAGCAAACGGGAUUAGAUACCCUAGUAGUCC
rnacentral:rRNA from 1 species